rnacentral:rRNA from 1 species
UACAGAGGUGGCAAGCGUUGUUCGGAAUUACUGGGCGUAAAGGGCGCGUAGGCGGCCUUCUAAGUCAGACGUGAAAUCCCCAGGCUUAACUUGGGAACUGCGUCUGAUACUGGGAGGCUUGAGUGCGGGAGAGGGAUGUGGAAUUCCGGGUGUAGCGGUGAAAUGCGUAGAUAUCAGGAGGAACACCGAUAGCGAAGGCAGCUCGCUGGGACGGUACUGACGCUGAGGUGCGAAAGCGUGGGGAGCGAACAGG